AUGAACAGAGGGAGAGCAGAGCGCACACGUGUGUGUACACAUGUGAAUAUACCUGUGCAUACGCAUACACACAUGCUUCUACUCAGUGUGUACAUGUGCAUAUACCUGUGCAUACACACACACACACGCUUCUACUCAGUGUGUGUACAUGUCAUAUACCUGUGCAUAUGCACACACACACGCUUCUACUCAGUGUGUACAUGUGAAUAUACCUGUGCAUACACACACACACGCUUCUACUCAGUGUGUGUACAUGUGAAUAUACCUGUGCAUAUGCACACACACACACGCUUCUACUCAGUGUGUGUACAUGUCAUAUACCUGUGCAUACACACACACACUUCUACUCAGUGUGUACAUGCAUAUACCUGUGCAUACGCACACACGCUUCUACUCAGUGUGUGUACAUGUCAUAUACCUGUGCAUACACACACACACACGCUUCUACUCAGUGUGUGUACAUGUCAUAUACCUGUGCAUACACACACACACAUGCUUCUACUCAGUGUGUGUACAUGUCAUAUACCUGUGCAUAUGCACACACACACGCUUCUACUCAGUGUGUGUGUACAUGUCAUAUACCUGUGCAUACACACACACACAUGCUUCUACUCAGUGUGUGUACAUGUCAUAUACCUGUGCAUACACACACACACGCUUCUACUCAGUGUGUGUGUACAUGUCAUAUACCUGUGCAUACACACACACACACGCUUCUACUCAGUGUGUGUGUACAUGUCAUAUACCUGUGCAUAUGCACACACACACGCUUCUACUCAGUGUGUGUACAUGUCAUAUACCUGUGCAUACACACACACACAAUCUACUCAGUGUGUGUACAUGUCAUAUACCUGUGCAUAUGCACACACACACGCUUCUACUCAGUGUGUGUGUACAUGUCAUAUACCUGUGCAUACACACACACGCUUCUACUCAGUGUGUGUACAUGUCAUAUACCUGUGCAUACACACACACGCUUCUACUCAGUCGUCACAGGCUCCGAGGACCCGCCGAGGUGGUACACUGUGGGGGGGGGGGGUAUGUUGUCAUCGUCAUCCAGCAGAGGGUGCAAGGCAAGGAACCGCAUCCCUCGGGGUUGUCCUGCUGCACACUGCCCCCUGGUGGCUGUGGCCUUCAUUCUGCGUCUGGCAUCCAUGUCUCCCUCGUGGGAUCCAUGUCCUUAACCCACAGCUAGGGAAACCUAACCGCAGGCUCAUCCUGUCAGGGGGUGGGCCCUUCGGGAAGCCCUCAGGGCAGAUGAGGUCAAGGGAGGGCCCCACCUCCACUCCCACCCCGGCCAGCAGGCCUCACUUGAGGCGGGCACCACGACCGUGGUUCUCCGCGCGGGAGCCGAAUAACCCUCCAUUCUUCACAAAUUGCCCCGUGGCCUUCAGUCACGGUAACAAAAGCCGAGCAAGACAACGGACUCCAUGAAUCUCGGGAGGGAGCAAACGCUCACCACGGCACGAGGUGAGGUGGGCGCCAACACGCGUGGGUGGUUCCUCUCGGCUUCGCCAUGGCACCGUGGACACACCGCCCGGGCUCUCCGAGUAUGGCUUGUCUCACAGGAAACACGGGGUUACAGCAGCCAAGACCCCGCCACCCACACUGCCUGCCAGGGUCCUGGCCCCACAUGCGGGUCCAGCUUCCACCACUCUGCACCCUGGAAGGCGGUGGUGAUGGCUCCAGGCUGGGUCCCUGCCACCGCGGGGGGUCCGGAUUGCCUGGCUCCAGGCUGGGUCCCUGCCACCGCGGGGGGAUCAGGAUUGCCUGGCUCCAGGCUGGGUCCCUGCCACCGUGGGGGGGUCCGGAUUGCCUGGCUCCAGGCUGGGUCCCUGCCACCGCGGGGGGAUCAGGAUUGCCUGGCUCCAGGCUGGGUCCCUGCCACCGUGGGGGGGUCCGGAUUGCCUGGCUCCAGGCUGGGUCCCUGCCACCGCGGGGGGUCCGGAUUGCCUGGCUCCAGGCUGGGUCCCUGCCAUCGCGGGGGGUCCGGAUUUCCUGGCUCCAGGCUGGGUCCCUGCCACCGCGGGGGGGGAUCAGGAUUGCCUGGCUCCAGGCUGGGUCCCUGCCCCCGCGGGGUCCGGAUUGCCUGGCUCCAGGCUGGGGCCUGACCCAUACCCGUGGGCACUUAGAAGCAUUUGGGGAAUGAACUGUUGGAUGGAUCCUCUCUCUCUCUCUCUCUUUCAAAAUAAAAAAAAACCUUUUAUUUAUUUUUAAAGAAAA
rnacentral:lncRNA from 1 species